rnacentral:rRNA from 1 species
UAACCUGCCCUGGAGUGGGGAAUAACAGCUGGAAACAGCUGCUAAUACCGCAUAAUGCAGUUGGGCCGCAUGGCUCUGACUGCCAAAGAUUUAUCGCUCUGGGAUGGACUCGCGUCUGAUUAGCUAGUUGGUGGGGCAACGGCCCACCAAGGCGACGAUCAGUAGCCGGACUGAGAGGUUGGCCGGCCACAUUGGGACUGAGACACGGCCCAGACUCCUACGGAAGGCAGCAG